rnacentral:lncRNA from 1 species
CUUCCAUGUUGCUUCUCGUUUAACUACAACCUCGGUUGUAUUCACCUCGUCUUCUUGGAACUUGGCUAAGCAUUCAUCAAACAGAGCCUGGUCUGUCUCUGCCAGUACCUUUCUGACAUUCAAAGUCAGACUCUGAACCGCAUGGUGCCAAUGGCCACGCGUGUUCCUCUCCAUAGCCGGGAACACAAUCGGCAUUAUCACUUUAUAGUUUUGAGUAAUCAGGUUUCUUAUGUAGGUGCCAAUGGCCCCGCGUGUUCCUCUCCAUAGCCGGGAACACAAUCGGCAUUAUCACUUUAUAGUUUUGAGUAAUCAGGUUUCUUAUGUGGUCGUUGUUCCACAGAAACAGAGCUCUUUCAGCCACCUGAGGAAACAAAAAAAAAAGACGCAA